GAGCGGCCGUGGCUCCGCCCUGGGCGCGCGCGGGCCCGGCGGGGGUCCGGGGAGGGAGGCGGGCCCGGGCCAGCCGCAGCCUUUAAAUCAUGGGGGGCGAGGGGGGUAACGUCCCCGCGGAACUGGCUGCGCGGCGGCACCCGCGGCCCUCGGGGGCUGGCAGUGUCGGGUGCGCCGCCGGGUCCCCUCCCUCCGGGGGCCCCCCGGAGCUUCGCCCUCUGCCGCUGCGGCCGGGCCUGGCUACAAUGUAUCUGCGGUGACAUUGACACUUGGCUGCGGCCGCGAAGUCUUCUCGAGACUGCAGCCGGGGACCCCCCGCAGCUCCGGGCGCUGUCGGGAGCCCGCCCUCCGCCUGCAGCCUCCCGUUGUGGGGGAACUGUCCCCGACUUGCGGCCGCCCGCCUCCUCCACGUGGCUGCCUUGGGAAGGGCUGGAAGCCCCCCGGGCCCCCUUCUUUUGCGCUAAAUAUUCCUAGUCCCGCACCCGCCGGCGGGACCCUCCUCUUGGCUGGCCCCUACCGAAGUCCCCCCCAAAUCUGGGAGCCCAGCAGUGGCUCUGGGAGAAGUAAGAAGGGCAGCAGUCCCUCACGCAUUUUAAAGCAGUUUUAAUUUCUCUCCCUUUUCUCGAGAAAAAUCCUUUUAUAAAAAGUUGUGUGUGAUGUAGGAGGAAAAGCCCUGGACUUGGGGUGAAGGGAGGCGUGGAUUCAUUUCCUCUGACAAGACACCCUGCGUGAGCAUGGCAAUUAAGCUAAACUUUCGGCCUCGGUUUCCUCAUCUGCAAAUUGAGAAUGAUUAUAUGCAUCUACUCUCAUGUGUUUAACAUUAUGCUUAUAAAAGUAUUAACUUUCAAGUACAAUAUCAGCUAGCUAUUGUUGUUUUUUUCCUUUAGCAGUUCAGGGCUGAAAAAGUCCUUAAAAUGGAACUUUUCAGGGAUCAAAAUUAUUUUUCAAUGAAGUGCCAGAAGUACACACGAGGGACCGAGUAAAAGGAACAGAACCUCCAGGAAUACAGUGUACAAAAGGACCCUGCUUAAGUAACUAUAAAUGCAAAUACUAAAUAUAUAACAAACAGCCUCGGAACUCGAUCAAUUGCAGUAACUAAUGUCGGUCCCAAAUAUGAUGAAACAUUUUCCUCCUCUUACUCAAGAGGCAGGGGACGUUGGGAGGAUAAUGUUGCAAACAUUGACAUUUUGUUGGUUGUGCCCAACUGCUCUUUGGGGGUUUAGUGGGAUUGGAAGGCAAAUCAGGGAUGAGUAGGGUAUAAAAGAAAUUAAAAGAAAUUUCACAUAAAUCACCUUUAGACUCAAGAACUAUACUCAAAGAAUCAAGAGAACAGGCUGAUGAAAAGUGAGCUUACCAGUGUAGCCAGUGAGAUAGUCUAGACACAGGGAAGGGAAGAUCAUGAAUUUUAAAACCCAGUUAGAGAAGUCAUGAUAUUGACGACUUCAUUUUGCUGCGACUUGUAGUAGUUUGGGCAUCUAUCCCGUGAAAUACAGUGGAUGGACAACUGACCUCUGAACCAGGGUGGCUUUGGGGGGCCCCCAGCAAGUAAUUUAAUGUCUCAGUCCCCCAACAACUUUCAUAGAAAUACACACACAUACUGCAGUAUAUGCAUGGGAAUACAUACCACAGUAUAUAUACAUGUAUGGAAGCAGAUAUAUGGGGCAGUGGUUAGAGCACUGGGUCUGGAGGUUCAAAUCCAGCCUCAGAAGAUUCCUAGGUGUGUGACCUCGGCCAAGUCACUUUACUUUACCUGUGGCCUUAAUCCAAAGGAGGAAGAAAUGGCAAACCAUGAUAAUAUCUUUGCCCAGAAAACCCCAUAUAGAUCAUGAAGUCAGACAUGACAGCAUUAAGAAUCCAUGUCUCCAAAAUAUGUGGAUGUGACAUACACAGAUACAUAAUAUCUAUAAAACCUGGAGGUGUGUAUGUGAGAACGUGUAUCUAUGUCAUCUUUAAUAUACAAACAUGUAUGCAUGCGUGUGCUUGUGUGCAAACACACAAAUUGUAGAUCUGCAUUGGUGAAAGGAUUUCCUGAAGAGAGAAUAAUGGAACAUUACAGGUAAAAAAAGAAACCUACAUAGAAUCUUAUCACCUCUGUAUCACAGAUGAGGAAACAAGAUCACGUGCCCAAGCUCAGGUAGAAGAGCUGGCCCUGCACAGUGUGCUGGUUAUUCUGAGGAAGAAGACGCAGUGGCCAUCAAAGUCAAUAAGCAAAAUGCAUUUUAAACACAUGAAAUCCAUAAACAGACUCUGCUCCCCUGAAUGAAAGUUCAAAUCUAGGUGGAGGGAGAAUGGGAGAAGGGAGAGACUGGGGGUCAGCUAUCAGUGAAGAACCCGUUGCCGUGACUGUCCUGGUAAAAGAUGGGGAAGAUCUCAGCUUCGAUGGUGAGCCUGAGAGAGGAGAGAAGACAAAUGAAAGCUGAGAGACGUGGCAAAUGACUUGUAUAUCGUGAGAAAGCCUGCUCUAGUUUUUGCCUGAGACUUUUCCUUUCACUACAGCAACACACCUGCUGAGCCAAAGCUGCUCAUAUGUAAAUCCAGAAAGAUUAAAUGCAAAAAAGGACUCUUCCGGAGGAUGGGCUCUUUCUCACUUUCUGUUUUCUACUUUCACUUCUACCACUCACCUUUGAAAGUCGUC
rnacentral:lncRNA from 1 species